UACGUAGGGACCAAGCGUUGUUCGGAUUUACUGGGCGUAAAGGGCGCGUAGGCGGCUUGACAAGUCACUUGUGAAAUCUCCGGGCUUAACUCGGAACGGCCAAGUGAAACUGUCAUGCUAGAGUGCAGAAGGGGCAAUCGGAAUUCUUGGUGUAGCGGUGAAAUGCGUAGAUAUCAAGAGGAGCACCUGAGGUGAAGACGGGUUGCUGGGCUGACACUGACGCUGAGGCGCGAAAGCCAAGGGAGCAAACGGG
rnacentral:rRNA from 1 species